rnacentral:lncRNA from 1 species
AUGAUGAUGAGGAUGAAGAGCCGCUGAAGCACAGGAGGAGUCGAAAAGCGUCCGCCAGUAAGGUGCCUCAGGAUGUGUCAGCGCCUGAAAUUCUGACUGUGGAGGAAGAGAAUACCACUCGACACACGGUGACCUUCGCGACCCCACUGACGAGUGCUCAGCAGCCCUCCCUCUUCACGACUCACCACGUCCCGGAGGACCAAGCUGGUGCAGCGAAGGAGGCAAUACGCCAGGCAGGACUCAUGAUGGAGCAGCUGAAGACCAUCCGGGAUGCGAGCCAGGCAGCUUAUGACGCCAGCUCUGCCCUCCAAAGCAAUGUCCAGGUCAGUCGACUGCUGUUUGUUCUGUUGGAUAUGCUACCAAAAACUUUUCUUUUCCGGGAUUUAUAUUAGUCACCCACUGGGUGUGUCAAAUAAACUCCGUGUUAGCGGGGGCACGCUGAGUGCACCCGCUGGGUGUAGUCCCCAAGGCUAAGGUCGACUGCUGGCAGUCGGCCUUAGGCUUUAUAAUGUCAAUCUUUCUAUCAGUCGACUGGUCGACUGGAUUUCGCAAACCGGUGGGGGCACGCUGAGUGCACCCGCUGGGUGUAGUCCCCAAGGCUAAGGUCGACUGCUGGCAGUCGGCCUUAGGUUUUAUAAUGUCAAUCUUUCUAUCAGUCGACUGGUCGACUGGAUUUCGCAAAUCGGUGGGGGCACGCUGAGUGCACCCACUGGGUGUAGUCCCCAAGGCUAAGGUCGACUGCUGGCAGUCGGCCUUAGGCUUUAUGAUAUCAAUCUUUCUGUCAGUCGACUGGUCGACUGGGUUUCGCAAACCAGUGGGGGCACGCUGAGUGCACCCACUGGGUGUAGUCCCCGAGACUGUGGUCGACUGCUUGCAGUUGAUCACAGUCUUAGAGAAUGCGUCUCGCACACUGUUUUUUUUUUUUUGAGGUCGACUGGUCGACUUUGUCUUCGACAGGAUUAGUGGGGGCACGCUGAGUGCACCCACUGGGUGUAGUCCCCGAGACUACGGUCGAAUACUUGUAUUCGGCCGUAGUCUUAGAAACGUGUGUUUUUCCCUUUUUCACUCGGAAGUGAAUUAUUUUUGACGUUUAGUCGAUUGGUUCUUCGCAGAACUCCUGUGAUCUUGUGGCUCGCUACUCAGA